GCGUCAAUCAAAUGUCCUCCCAAAAAGGUCAAAAUGCUGUUGAAAGGGACGGAGGAUCUAUCUUAGGGUGACAGGUGGGUGGCAACUGUGAUUCCAGAGAAGAAGCGUCUGGUGACAGAAAAGGAGCGAGGAUGAUUGAGACCCUAAAAGGAAAAUCAGAGGCUCCCUGAAGGACACGAAGUUGGAAGAGCCGCCCCCCAAGACUCCCGGCCUUAUUUACGGCUCUGCAGCUGCUUUCAAAAAAAGAAGAGGAGGAGGAAGCAAGAGAGAUGGUCCAGCAGUUGCAGCUUGUGGAAGAUCUGGGUUUGUUUCCCAGAACCUAGAGUGGGUCACUAAAACCAGUAUCUCCUUGGCCUCUAAAGACACCAGGCAGCCGCAAGAUGCAGCACACAUGCAGGUUCCAAGCUUUAAAGAAGACCAAAGGAAGUCAACUAUGGCAGCUGUAAGGAAUUGAACCCUUGGCCAAGUGAGAGACAUCUGCAAAACAAGACGAGAAGAUACCACAUACCCCAGGACACAAGCGGAAGCCUAGAACAUGUUUUGAAGAGUCACCAUCUUCUGGCCAGGGCAUUUCACAUCAACACUCGGGAGGCCGGCUCAUGUCCACCCUGGAU